GAUGAACGCUGGCGGCGUGCCUAAUACAUGCAAGUCGAGCGAACAGACGAGGAGCUUGCUUCUCUGACGUUAGCGGCGGACGGGUGAGUAACACGUGGAUAACCUACCUAUAAGACCGGGAUAACUUCGGGAAACCGGAGCUAAUACCGGAUAAUAUAUUGAACCGCAUGGUUCAAUAGUGAAAGACGGUUUUGCUGUCACUUAUAGAUGGAUCCGCGCCGCAUUAGCUAGUUGGUAAGGUAACGGCUUACCAAGGCAACGAUGCGUAGCCGACCUGAGAGGGUGAUCGGCCACACUGGAACUGAGACACGGUCCAGACUCCUACGGGAGGCAGCAGUAGGGAAUCUUCCGCAAUGGGCGAAAGCCUGACGGAGCAACGCCGCGUGAGUGAUGAAGGUCUUCGGAUCGUAAAACUCUGUUAUUAGGGAAGAACAAAUGUGUAAGUAACUAUGCACGUCUUGACGGUACCUAAUCAGAAAGCCACGGCUAACUACGUG
rnacentral:rRNA from 1 species